rnacentral:rRNA from 1 species
GAUGAACGCUGGCGGCGUGCCUAAUACAUGCAAGUCGAGCGAACGGAUGAGGAGCUUGCUCCUCUGACGUUAGCGGCGGACGGGUGAGUAACACGUGGAUAACCUACCUAUAAGACUGGGAUAACUUCGGGAAACCGGAGCUAAUACCGGAUAAUAUAUUGAACCGCAUGGUUCAAUAGUGAAAGACGGUUUUGCUGUCACUUAUAGAUGGAUCCGCGCCGCAUUAGCUAGUUGGUAAGGUAACGGCUUACCAAGGCAACGAUGCGUAGCCGACCUGAGAGGGGGAUCGGCCACACUGGAACGGGAACACGGUCCAGACUCCUACGGGAGGCAGCAGAAGGGAAUCUUCCGCAAUGGGCGAAAGCCUGACGGAGCAACGCCGCGUGAGUGAUGAAGGUCUUCGGAUCGUAAAACUCUGUUAUUGGGGAAAAACAGAUGUGUAAGUAACUGUGCACGUCUUGACGGUACCUGAUCAGAAAGCCACGGCUAACUACGUG